UGAAGAGUAAGAGCAAAUUAUAAAAUCAAAAUUUCUAGGGUUUUAGAGCACUGCGAUUUCUCUUCAGAAUUCCUACCAUUCUUAAUUCUGAAUCCUCGAGAUUUCUUUCUCUUCAUUUCAUCUUUCUCUUCUUCGCCACGCACUCUUGUCUCUCUAACUGGUGAUUCUGGUUGUGGACAAUGUCUCGUGUUUACGUUGGGAAUUUGGAUCCUCGAGUCUCUGAGAGGGAUCUCGAAGAUGAAUUUCGUAUAUACGGUGUUCUUCGGAGUGUCUGGGUUGCUCGUAGACCACCAGGAUAUGCAUUUAUUGAGUUUGAUGAUCGGAGGGAUGCAGUUGAUGCAAUUCAUGAAUUGGAUGGAAAAAAUGGUUGGCGUGUGGAGCUUUCUCAUAAUUCCAAGGGUGGUGGUCGAGGAGUGCGUGGGCGUGGAGGUGAGGAUAUGAAAUGCUAUGAAUGUGGUGAACCUGGACACUUUGCUCGGGAGUGUCGCCUGCGCAUUGGAUCACGUGGUCUGGGAAGUGGAAGGAGGCGAAGUCCAAGUCCUUAUCAGCGUCGUAGAAGUCCAAGUUAUGGAUAUGAUCGCAGGAGUUUUAGCCCUCGGGGCAGAAGAUCUCCAAGACGUCAUAGCAUAUCACCUCCCCGGGGCCGCAGUUACAGCAGGUCCCCUCCAUAUCGUUAUUCUCGCCGUGAUUCACCUUAUGCCAAUGGAGAUUAAAAUCAAAAUGUGAUCGGAGCAAGUGCUGAAUACUUAUUAUGGAAUCCUCUCUGCUAUAGUGUAGUUCCUCUAGGAUUGGUUGAGCAUACCACAGACAUGUUAGUUAUGUUGAUGUCAUGACAAUGAGUAUUGUUUAGAACUUGGCUUCUGACGAAACUUACAAAGUGUUGUAGCCGCCAAAAGGGUGCAUUGUACACUGUUUUGCAUCCACUGUCUCUGUUCAGCUUAUUGAAAACUGAAGGUGUUAUCGGCCAAAAGAGCAUCGUUUCGCCACUUACUAGAUCUUCUUGUCUGCUUCUCUGCUGCAUUGCCCCACAAUCGUCUAAUCUUGUUGCUUCUGCAUAUAAGUUGACUAAAAGUACAAUGUCAGCUAGUUGGUUACGUAUGACCUUUUGUUAACUGGUUCAGAAAAGGAAUGCUACAGAUGCAUCUUCCUUAUGAAUUGGAGAAGUCUAAAGGUGGAUGGGUAGAAUGUAGCCAAUGACUGCUGCAUCUUCAUGAAAUUAAGUAACUUUGGGAUUUCUCAGGAUUUCUCUAGUAUCUGACUAGUGUCUGCUUAUCACCAUUAUACGACUAAGUAGGUAUAUUGAUGGUUGCAUCAUUUUGCCACUUGAUCUUGUCUGCUUCUCUGCUGCAUGCCUCGACAAUCUUCUCAUCUUCUGCAUAUAUGUUGACUAAAAGUUUGAUGUCAGCAAGUUGGUUGCGUGUGACCUUUUUGUUAACCAGUUCAGAAAAUGAAUGCAUCCUCCUUAUAAAUUGGAGGAGUCUAAAGGUGAAUGGGUAAAUUGUGAUCAUUGACUAGCUGCAUCUUCACGAAAUUAAGUAACUUUGGGAUUUCUCGGGAUUUAUCUUAUAUCUGUGUAUAGUGUCUGCCUCUCACCGUUCUACGUAGUUAUAUUGAUGGUUGCUGUUUCUAACGUCUGCAUUGACUAGAAUGUUUCUUGUUUCAUCCCUGGUCCGUGUGGUAUGUGCUUUUCUGUUUGAGACUGCAAUGGAUAUCAUCUUGGUUGUGUAGGAUACCAUUUUGUGCAUUCUCCUUCGGCGAUAUAUACACAAGAACAUUCAUGAUCCACGAAGAAUGGGAUUAUAUUGAUGGUUGCAUCGUUUUGCUUCUUACUAGAUCUUCUUGUCUGCUUCUCUGCUGCAUACCUCCACAAUUGUCUUGCUUCUGCAUAUCAGUUGACAAAAGUCUGAUGUCAGCAAGUUGGUUGUGUAUGACUUUUUUGUUAACCAGUUCAGAAAAGGAAUGCCACAGAUGCAUCCUCUUUAUGAGUAGGACGAGUCUAAAGGUGGAUGGGUAGAUUGUAAUCGCUGGCUUGCUGCAUAUUCAUUAAAUUAAGUGCCUUUGCGAUUUCUCUAGUAUCUGCGAAUAGUGUCUACUUCUCACCAUUCUUCCUUAGUUAUAUUGAUUGUUGCUGUUUCUAACGUCUGCAUUGAUUAUAAUGUUUCUUGUUUCAUCCCUGGCAUGUUGUACAUGCUUGCUGUUUGAGACUGCAAUGGUUAUCAUUCUGGUUGUGUAGGAUACCAUUUUGUGCACUCUCCUUCGGCAACGUAUAUAUAUAUACACAUAUAUAUAUAUAUGCAUAUAUGUAUAUAUGUAUAUAUAUGUAUAUAUAUAUAUACACACACACAAGAACUUUCAUGACCUAUGAGGAAUGCGAUUAGAAAGAGUGAUUCCAUUUAACCAAGUGAGCAUUCGCCUAACGUCUUCCAUUCUUCACUUUCUGCUCUUUGAUCCGUGUCAGCUUCCUCACUUGGGUGAUUAGCUUUUUUAUGCUUCAUGGAAUUUUGUGACAUCUUCGGCUACUGGGAUUUUGUCACUUGUUUCCCACAUGCAGUUUUGCUUUGCCAAAUACCUCCUCUCUAAUCAAGUGUAUUAACUCUGGUUGAGUGGCAGCAUUGAUUGCGCUAGAUGUUUGAUUUUGAGGAAUUCAUUGCCUCUUGCCAUUGUUUUAGAAUGUUGGUGUUUGGUGUUGUUGUAAUUGUCAUUUAGAGCCAUGUGUCAUUCUAUUUUUUCUGGUAUUAGUGAUCCUUUUA